UGGGGAAUAUUGGGCAAUGGGCGAAAGCCUGACCCAGCAACGCCGCGUGAAGGAAGAAGGUUUUCGGAUCGUAAACUUCUAUCCCGGGUGAAGAUAAUGACGGUAGCCCGGAAGGAAGCCCCGGCUAACUACGUGCCAGCAGCCGCGGUAAUACGUAGGGGGCAAGCGUUGUCCGGAAUGAUUGGGCGUAAAGGGCGCGUAGGCGGCCUUGGAAGUCCGAUGUGAAAUUCCUGCUUUUAAGGUAGGAAGUGCAUUGGAAACUGCAGGGCUUGAGUGCAGGAGAGGUAAGUGGAAUUCCCGGUGUAGCGGUGAAAUGCGUAGAGAUCGGGAGGAACACCAGUGGCGAAGGCGACUUACUGGACUGUAACUGACGCUGAGGCGCGAAAGUGUGGGGAGCAAACA
rnacentral:rRNA from 1 species